UAUUGCUCACCCGAUGACAUUAAAAUAAGAAAUCAGAUUUCUUGGACACUGGAUUGCUUUUGCAAGCAGAUAAUUAGGAAUCUCAGAUGGUUUUUUCGUGAGGCAAAGCCAGCCUAUCUUACAGUUGCCAUUGACUGACCAAAACUCCAAUGAUUUUUUGCCAUCACACCGCCUAAAUUUGACUCAUUCCAGCAAUAUCUGCAGCCAGAAACCAUGCAAAUUAUAAGGCUUUAAAGUUCCUACAUCAUCUUUCAUCUCAUUACUUAAAAAAUGUGAUGCCCUACAUAACCUGUUACUAUUAACUCAUUCACUUGGUCACGAACUCUAUAUAUACAUAAACACAUACAUACAUGCAUAUAUAAUUAUCUGGUAAAAAGAUGAAUGUGAAGAUCUAACUCCUUUAAGAUCCACCAUGGUGGGAAUGAGGCAUUCAGAUGGAUCUUAUAGGAGGUUAAUGAAGCAUAACUAUAGAGAUCUUUCUCCUGGAAGGCCUAACAUUAUCAUAUUGCAAGCUAUCUGUAAUAUUUGAUAGUAGUUAAAAUGAUUAUCAGUAUACCAAAUUCAACAGUCUAUUACUACAACAACACAAUCAAAUUCAGAAGAUCCAACUCUGCUUCAUUCAGGACAAUUACAUUGAUAUCAUGUGGUUUGAGAUUUUCAAAUUUCAGCGCAAGCAGUUUAUUUCUAACGGUUUUAAUAUUUGUAAUGAACUCUUAGUUAGGUAAUGUAACAUUGUUAAUUUCAAUAUAUGGGCAAUUUAUAUUUUAAAAUUUUUAACAAGUGGAUGAUUCAAUUUAUAUAUUUUAUAAUUAGAAAAACAAUGACUAAAAUCUACAAAAAUUAAAAUAAAAUUAAAAGAAACAACGAGAUAUAAACUGGAGAAGCAUUGAGGAAGUUUGCAUACAUUAAAACUAACACAAUUUUUAACUUUUGAAAGAAUCUACAUAAUCUAAUAUGAGCUUUUCAUGCAUCAAAUUUUCUAAAAAAUACAGAUCAUCCACAUGUUCAAAUGAAAACCGUGACUCCUGAGUCUGCUAAAAGUAAUUAUGUAUAUUAAAUAUGAAAGUUCUCAAAUCACAAGAGUCAGCACUACAACUGAUCCAAAUUUUAUUGAAAAUGCCACAAUGUGAUCGCAUAUAAAGAUACAUACCUCAAUUAACCUUUCGGACUUCUCAUAAAGCUGCUUAGAUCUCCACAACCUCUUUUUAAAUGUUAAUUUCACAAAAAGUUGACAUCUCGACA
rnacentral:lncRNA from 1 species